CGGUGGCCACGACGUCGACGUCACGUGAUAAAUGAAUAUAACUUGAGGAAUUUGUUUUAAAUCUUUGUUAAGUAACAAUAUUUGACUUAUGUUAACUCUGACGAUUGUCAUCGCUUCGACAUCAGAAAGGCUCUGAAAUUAAAGCUUUUUUUAUGUAACUGUUACCUCCUUAGAAACGGUCACCUCCAGUGAAGUGCAUGUUUUGCAUGAUAUCCUGCCUGGAUUAUCGAUGACAGCAAGAUUGACAAUGAAGUUAUACAACGAAGACCUAUAUGAAUUUCUUUGCAUGGAAAUGGUCGUUUCAAAGAGUUAAAUAAAUCGCUGUCAAAGAUGAA